rnacentral:rRNA from 1 species
CCCUUAGAUGUUCUGGGCCGCACGCGCGCUACACUGACCGAGCCAACGAGUGUCCUUCCUUGGCCGAAAGGUCCGGGUAAUCUUGUUAAACUCGGUCGUGCUGGGGAUAGAGCAUUGCAAUUAUUGCUCUUCAACGAGGAAUGCCUAGUAAGCGCACGUCAUCAGCGUGCGCUGAUUACGUCCCUGCCCUUUGUACACACCGCCCGUCGCUACUACCGAUUGAAUGGCUCAGUGAGGCCUCCGGACUGGCCCCAGGAGGUCGGUGACGACCACCCAGGGCCGGAAAGUCGGUCAAACUUGGUCAUUUAGAGGAAGUAAAAGUCGUAACA